rnacentral:rRNA from 1 species
AUGCGGGCUGCAAAAAUGGAGGGCGUCGCCAACUCUGAUGUUUUGUCCUGCUCAAGCACGUCAUUAAUGUGUGUUGGAGAUGGACUCGACAUGGAACACUCUCUUUGCCACAUCAAAGAUGGCCUCAAGCCCCUAUACAGAAGUAUCCAAUCUUGCUGUUCUACAAUUUUCUCUGGAACAACGAUGUACAACUUCGACGGAACAGGACCGCCAGUGCUCCACCUGAGGUACGCCACUGUAUAA